GAUGAACGCUGGCGGCGUGCCUAAUACAUGCAAGUCGAGCGAACGGACGAGAAGCUUGCUUCUCUGAUGUUAGCGGCGGACGGGUGAGUAACACGUGGAUAACCUACCUAUAAGACUGGGAUAACUUCGGGAAACCGGAGCUAAUACCGGAUAAUAUUUUGAACCGCAUGGUUCAAAAGUGAAAGACGGUCUUGCUGUCACUUAUAGAUGGAUCCGCGCUGCAUUAGCUAGUUGGUAAGGUAACGGCUUACCAAGGCAACGAUGCAUAGCCGACCUGAGAGGGUGAUCGGCCACACUGGAACUGAGACACGGUCCAGACUCCUACGGGAGGCAGCAGUAGGGAAUCUCCCGCAAUGGGCGAAAGCCUGACGGAGCAACGCCGCGUGAGUGAUGAAGGUCUUCGGAUCGUAAAACUCUGUUAUUAGGGAAGAACAUAUGUGUAAGUAACUGUGCACAUCUUGACGGUACCUAAUCAGAAAGCCACGGCUAACUACGUGCCAGCAGCCGCGGUAAUACGUAGGUGGCAAGCGUUAUCCGGAAUUAUUGGGCGUAAAGCGCGCGUAGGCGGUUUUUUAAGUCUGAUGUGAAAGCCCACGGCUCAACCGUGGAGGGUCAUUGGAAACUGGAAAACUUGAGUGCAGAAGAGGAAAGUGGAAUUCCAUGUGUAGCGGUGAAAUGCGCAGAGAUAUGGAGGAACACCAGUGGCGAAGGCGACUUUCUGGUCUGUAACUGACGCUGAUGUGCGAAAGCGUGGGGAUCAAACAGGAUUAGAUACCCUGGUAGUCCACGCCGUAAACGAUGAGUGCUAAGUGUUAGGGGGUUUCCGCCCCUUAGUGCUGCAGCUAACGCAUUAAGCACUCCGCCUGGGGAGUACGACCGCAAGGUUGAAACUCAAAGGAAUUGACGGGGACCCGCACAAGCGGUGGAGCAUGUGGUUUAAUUCGAAGCAACGCGAAGAACCUUACCAAAUCUUGACAUCCUUUGACAACUCUAGAGAUAGAGCUUUCCCCUUCGGGGGACAAAGUGACAGGUGGUGCAUGGUUGUCGUCAGCUCGUGUCGUGAGAUGUUGGGUUAAGUCCCGCAACGAGCGCAACCCUUAAGCUUAGUUGCCAUCAUUAAGUUGGGCACUCUAAGUUGACUGCCGGUGACAAACCGGAGGAAGGUGGGGAUGACGUCAAAUCAUCAUGCCCCUUAUGAUUUGGGCUACACACGUGCUACAAUGGACAAUACAAAGGGCAGCGAAACCGCGAGGUCAAGCAAAUCCCAUAAAGUUGUUCUCAGUUCGGAUUGUAGUCUGCAACUCGACUACAUGAAGCUGGAAUCGCUAGUAAUCGUAGAUCAGCAUGCUACGGUGAAUACGUUCCCGGGUCU
rnacentral:rRNA from 1 species